AAUGUACGAACAUUUUGGUAGGGAUAUCGUGGAAAUUGUUUUUGGUGUAUUUUCUGCAAAAAUUAAAAUAAAAUUAAGAAUAGUAUCAUCAAUAAAAAUAUAUGAUUAAUUCGUGCAAAACAAUACCUAUUGUAUUAUUGAACUGGCAUCAGAAGUGUCAGACUCAUCGGAGGAGAGUUUUCUAGUUUUUUUCGGCCGUUUGGAUGGUUCAUCAAAUGCAGUACGCAUAGCAUCAGUAUCAGCAUCCGAUGAGAUAUCUGCUGAUUUCUUCUCGAUUUUCCGAGCUUCUUGAAAAGAAUCUGUCAAACAUAAUGUAACACAUAUAUACAUAAAGUGUAACUCACCAAAUGGGCCAAUCAACUGUUUGUAUGGAGUUAAACUCCAUGUAUCGUUGGGCUGUAUUUCCUUUGAUAUUGCUGUGGUGACAGUGAUACUUUUCGGUGGCCACCAAAUCACUGAAUCGCUUUCGAAGACCCAUGAGUCGGGUACAACAGAGCACCACUCGUCGCCAAUAACAACGUACCACACCUUUACAAAUAACAUUUUUAGAGCAGCAUCAAUACAUUCAUUAUCUGUACUUCUUAUAACAUGCAUAUUUUAAUACAAUAAUAUGAAAAUAUUGUGAAAAUAGUAUAUAAUGUUACAAAGAUCAAGCUGUUAUUGAAUUUUCUAUUGAAAUAAUUAUAAUUUUAAUAAUAACGUAUGUACAAUAUAUAUAAUAUUUUACUUUUGUUUUUAAUUGAAAUUAAAAUUUGUGAUAUAAUAAGGGAAAUACGAGGUAUGUUGAAUCAUUUUCAAAAUUCAUUUGGAAUGCUUUAUUUUUUAUUAAAGAAACUGGCCACAUUUGUAAGGCCGAUAAGCCUGUAACAACAUAUAUACCUAAAUUUCCUGAAUCACAAGGAUAAUUAGGUAACGUUGAAAUAUUUGUAAACUUUUGACCAAUAAUUGUUGGAAUUUCACGAUAAUAAUCAAUAUUCGAAAUGCAAACAAUGCUUGUGAUAUUGUUUUCCUCGAUGUAGCAGCAGUUAUUAUAUUUUUUUGUUGUCAAGACAAACGAAGAAAAUUUUAUUUGACCAUGUGCGUUACAGCAACCUAAUGGUAAAUUAUCAUUGAUCUUUUUCUGCAGCUGAGGAUAUUGUUGAUUAUAAAACCGCUGAUUUUCUGCAGGAAAUAACGAUUGUUCAUUUAACCUGUUACAAAUUUGUUGUAACGGUUUAUCAAAUUUUCUGAGAAGUUUUUUUAGAGUGAAAAGAUAGUUUUCAAAUGGGAAAGCACUAAAAGAAUCUAGGGGUCCCAAUCUUUUUGCAUCAGCAGGUAAAUGUAUUACAGUAUGCAUGUUAUAAGUAACAUUUUGUGGUCCAUACAGAAUGCUCAUGUUUUGAACGAAAUAUACCAAAAGAUCAUGUGCAUAUUCGUUGUCCUUUUCAUAAUCUGUAUACUACUUGUUAAACAGUAAUUAAAAUAUGUAAAUAACAAA